GCGCCGCACUCUUGGCACUUCCCAAUGCGCGGACUACCAGCGCUGUCCCGUUGGAGGCCGGAGCCCAGCACCGAGGAUCCGAGGGUCUGGGUGGCAGGGACGACUGGGGGGGAUGAAGGUCCUAGGAGAAGAAAAGGUACGGUCUGGGGGUGAGUAUCUGACAAAGCCAAUGCCUCUGCCCCACUUUGAUCUUAGCACUCGCCAAGCCUGCCAGAGGUGCCUGGGAACUAUGGGUCGUGAGGAUUCUUGUCACCCCAUCCUUUCCACUCUGUGAAGCGUUUGCCGGAGGGCUCUUCGAAAUGUCACCUGCAGCAACCCAGUGUCAACUUCCCGCACUCAUCCCGCCAACUUCACCAGAGAGAAAAAGCAAGUCAGGAAGCACCUGGAUCCUGAUGUGCCCUGGGCCAGCCUGAGCAUACAGCAGCAGCCACGCACAUCCCAGUGGAGCUGCUAAGCUGAGCACUGACAGGACUCACCAGGAGUGGGAGAGUCCUCCAAGGCCUUCCCUCUGCUUUCCCACUGGCUCUCCUUAAGAAAGCAGGGGCACAGUCAAGAGCUGGUCCCUGAAGUCAACCCUGGCUCUGCCUUCCUGGCCCUCUGAUCUCUGCAAGUGACUUCAACAGUACUCAUCACUACUACUAUGUGUGGAUCAUGCAUGUGCCAUACCUAGCACAUGUGUUCAGAUUCACACCCUACUGGCUCUUGGCUCAUGAUUCCCCCUGGAGACCAGCAUGGGCCCCAGCCCCUGGGCUCUCAAAAUAGCCCCUCACAGCCAGGCCUCUGCCUGCCCUAAGGGCCCCAGCCUGGUCCUAGUGGCAGCAAGUGUGAAGCAAGCUCUCAUAAACCACUGUCCCCUGCAAACCUCUGACUCAUCAUUCUCAAAACUGCUUCUGGGAAUUUGCUUUGCAGCUCCAGGUCGAGUGUGUCAUGCUGGAGGCCCAAGGCUGGGUGAGGGGCUUUGGAAUGUCACUUCUCUGGGAAUGGCUCACACAUGAAUUGAAUUUGAGCCUGACAUCUUCUGCCAGGGAAAAUAGAAGCCAUUUAGAAAAAUGAAAAAGAACUAGAAAGAGCCCUUUCCCUUAGCUGCAGUGAGUCUCCAACAUGAAUAUGAACAGAAGCUCCCCCCCACCACCACCAUGGGGAGCUGGACCCUCUGUGUCCAGGAGGGCUAAGGGUUUGAGGGCCUCCAACCGGGCAGGAGAGGGCAACUUCUCUCCAAGCCAGACUGAAGUUCCUCCCCUUGGAAUCCCUGCUAAGCUUAAAGAUCUGCCCCCAGGCGGUCUCUGGGGCUCUGCCUGGGAUAGGGAGAUCAAACAGGGAGCCUGUGAGGAAUCUUCUCUCUCUGCUGAGGAGCAUAUGCCAACUCCCCAAAGGCACAGCCAAAACCAAUCUAGAAAGUGGGAGGCUCCUGUUCUCCAUGACCUUGAGCACUAAGGGGCUUCAGAGUCCCAGCCCCUGCCACACCUCAGAGCAUCUUUAUCUACAUCCAAGGAUUUUCCUGAGCUACCUUGGGGGGAGUCAGCUAGAGACCCAGGUGACCUUUCACCCCAUUCCCCCUCCCUCCUGCUUCUCACAGCAGGACUGGGCUGGCCUGAAAAGGGCAAGGCCACCCUCUCCCUUGUUGCUACACAGUGAGAAGCAGAGCUGUGGAAGAGCCAAGGAACUCUGAGGGUGGAGGCCUAAAGCAGAGGAGGAAAGAGCAGAGAGAAAGGGGGCUUCGGCCGGUGAGUAUGUCCUGUGAAGCUUGUGGGCCAAGAGUGCACCUCUGAGGACCCUUAAGAAAGAACCUUGCCAGGAGGAUUCCCUGCUAGGGGAAGCCUCAGGAGAGGGAGAGAGAGGUCAGGCCAGGGACACCUCAAGUUGUCAGGGGCAAGGCCACAGAGGAGGAGUGGUGCCAUGCAGAGUGUCACACAGGGAGGGGGGCGCACCAAGGCCUCUUACCCCUUUACAGUAACACCUCUCCUUCUAGAAGUAAGGGCCCCCUCCUCACCCAGGGAACUUUCUGGGAUCAAGCCUUUGGGGUGGGGACAGGAGAUGCUGCCAACAGGAUGAGAAAUCGAAGCUUUGAGUUAGACUGAGUUUAACUAGUUGAUGGGCCAGCGGUGGGAGGGAGGGGCCAGAGCCCUGGCUUUGAGAACAAAGCCCUGGUUUCCUGCUUUCUCCCACUGGUCUGCAUCCAAUUUGCAGGCUAUGACCUUAAAUAAGGUCUCUGUUCCCUCAGGCUAUGUGGGGGGGGGGGUCUUCACAGGAAGGUCCCAUUCCUUUGGAUAGUCUUGUGGCAGGUACAGUUUGGGCCUAGAGGCAACACUGGUCUAUCUGUACUUGGGAAGCAUGAGGGUCAGUCCUGACCCUGCAUGCUGGUGAUCUGACCCAUCUCUUCUCCUCCUCUCUAGACUUAAGAGUGCCAUCUUAUUCACUUUGUGACCAUACAGUUUCCAUUAGCCCUCAUUCAACUCUUCUUGUUCAGAGACACACUGUGACUCCUGAAGGAGGACCCCAAGACCUGGAUAGCCUCUCUUUGAAGAUACUCUUCUGAUCCCACAAGAGUGGGAGGCACGUAGGCUGGGGUUACAGCUUAGUGGAAGAGCACUUGCCUAGCAUGUGUGAGGUACUGGAUUUGAUUCUCAGCACCACAUAUAGAUAAAUAAAAUAAAGGUCCAUUGACAACUAAAAAAUAUUUUUAAAAAUAAAAUAAGAGUGGGAGGCAUGUGCUGCAGCUCCCUCUCCAGGAACUGGGAAAGUCUAAAGGUCUCAGCAGAAGCCCAUGCAACACACUCUGUACCCAAGUACACUUGUCAGCUUCCCUGAGUUUGUGAAAAGACACCCUUAGCCAUCUUGGCAGGACCUGCAGCACCAUCUCAAGAGGGGACUGAUGAGAUGUUACUUGCCCCACUUCUCUGUGGCUCCACAUAUGGGGAUAGACCACUAUUCCUCAACCUACCAGGCCACCCUGAGUCCCCAUCCUCCGCACCAGUUCAGUGCCCUCUCGUUUCCAGGGCACCAUAAGCACCUCAAAGGUGUGUUCCUAUCAGCGUUUCUUUGGUUCACUCAGGGUAUCUAUGGAACUUUCAACAAGGUGUAGGUCUGAGGGUGGUCCAGAGGUCCAGCAAUCACAGAUAGGUAACCUCCCUUCAAGAAGCUAAGGCUGGAUGGGGCCAGAGGCAUACAAAGUCAGCAAUUCAAAUGCCUAGACACAGAGGGCAUAGGUAAGGGCCCUGAACUCCUUGGAGGGAAGGAGGAGGGGAAGCCCAGGCAGGCAGAUUCUGUCCCCAGGCCCUUCAGGGCAUCUCAGGUAGCACAGUGGCCUAAUACCUGCUAAGUAUGUGCAUUUCCCCAUUUCUCAGAAAACUGAGACCCUGAGAAGGGACUUGUUCAGGACACAUCAUAUAUAUGAUAAUGAAGGUCCAAAUUAAUCCCUCUGAGGCUGAACCAAACACUCCUUCCACAUGGGCUUCACCAUGUGGGGCCAUCAUGCAACAGGGCCACAGCAGCCUACCUCCAGCCUCCCUCCUGCUGAGGCCCAUGCCUCAGCCCCUGAAUGCCACAUGAGCCAUGAGCCUCACUAGGGCCUCAGCUUGACAGGAGAUCUACACUCACCUGCCAGCAGGCUCCAGAGGGCCUGUGUUCUAUCUGGGAAGCCACAGAACACAGGGACAGGAGGCUUCCAAGGCCUAGGAGCAGAUCCUCCCAACCUGAAUCUGAGGCCACUGGGCCCAAGUGACACAGCUCAGACAAAGAGGGUUGUGCCCCCAGAGGAAUGAACCCAUGGUUAGUGAUAGCUUGGGGGUUCCUUUAUGCAGAAACUUGUUCCACAGUUCACUGUCCAAUAGAACUGUGCAUUUGUGUGUGUGUGUGUGUGUGUGUGUGUGUGUGUGUGUGCAAGUGAGCACGUGCAUGUGUGAACUAAAUAAAAGGUGCAAGAAGUCUGGUCUUAGCCAGCAGGCCCCCCAGAUCCUAGAUACUGUUUCUCCUGGAGACUGGGUUCACCCAGGCGCAAAGGAGAAGGGACCAGGCCUUGUUCCUCCCCUGGGGGAGGUCUUUAGAGACACCCGCUUCUCGGUAGCUCAGGUGCCUGGAUGUCAUCAGUAGGGUCAGCUUCUAGAGUCCACAAGGAGGGGUGAUUCCCCAAGCUGUGGUGACUAGGGUCUUCCAGACAGCGUCUAGCCAUCCUCACAACUGGCAGAACAAUUUCCUUGGUUUCCAACAACUUGAAAACCACAUGUGAUUUUCCACAGUCCCCGGCUCUGCAGGCCUGGCUGCUGAGUGAGCAGAGUCCAUGCUGAAUUCCUUCCACUCACCGCAAGGCAGACAGCAGGCCCAGCUGUGGGGAGAUUCACUGGGAUGGGGGUCACCACAGCAAGGCAGGGGCGGACUUCCAGCACCGAUGAGUAAUUCUGCAGUCAGUAAAUCUGGGAAGAGGGCAUGUGACCACUUAAUGUAACAAUCAGCCCAGUGUUAAGUUACGAAGGAGGAGGCAUUCUUCAAAACAAGGUUGAGUGGCAAAAAUAGUUUAAUCCCCACCUCACAUCUUCAUCAAAAUUAACUCCAGAGGAUGGAAGAUAUCAAGGUUAGGGGAAAAAAAAAACCACAAAUGUAGUAAAAGAAAAUACGAGUCCGUGUUUAUAUUC